rnacentral:rRNA from 1 species
UCAGGUGGUUAUAGCAGUGGGGCUCCACCUCUUCCCAUUCCGAACAGAGAAGUUAAGCCCACUCGCGCCGAUGGUUCUGCGCUGCGUCGUGGAAGAGUAGGUCGCUGCCGUUU